rnacentral:rRNA from 1 species
AAUAGAUACCCUGGUAGUCCACGCCGUAAACGAUGAGUGCUAAGUGUUGGGGGGUUUCCGCCCCUCAGUGCUGCAGCUAACGCAUUAAGCACUCCGCCUGGGGAGUACGGUCGCAAGACUGAAACUCAAAGGAAUUGACGGGGGCCCGCACAAGCGGUGGAGCAUGUGGUUUAAUUCGAAGCAACGCGAAGAACCUUACCAGGUCUUGACAUCCCGGUGACCACUAUGGAGACAUAGUUUCCCCUUCGGGGGCAACGGUGACAGGUGGUGCAUGGUUGUCGUCAGCACGUGUCGUGAGAUGUUGGGUUAAGUCCCGCAACGAGCGCAACCCUUAUUCUUAGUUGCCAUCAUUCAGUUGGGCACUCUAAGGAGACUGCCGGUGAUAAACCGGGGGAAGGUGGGGAUGACGUCAAAUCAUCAUGCCCCUUAUGACCUGGGCUACACACGUGCUACAAUGGACGGUACAAACGGUUGCCAACCCGCGAGGGGAGCUAAUCCGAUAAAACCGUUCUCAGUUCGGAUUGUAGGCUGCAACUCGCCUACA